UCAAAAUUUUGCUCCCGCCAGGGAGCGCAAAAUAUCACCCGUCGUGUGUGAGUUUAGGAACGACUGAGCGGCAGAAUUUUUAAAUACAAGCACACAUCCAAAAGUGAGCAUCAGAGUGAAAAUUAAAUAGUUGAAUAUCGAUACGGAAUUUUUAAGUGUUUCAACUUGAUAUAAGUCCACAUAUAUAUUCGUGUUUCCGAGAAAUGUGGCUGCACUUCCUACAGCGGAUGAAGCAGUGAGGGCUCUUGAAGGAGAACAGGAGCGUGCUAGAAUUCUAGAAAAUAGAGCGAUAAAUGCUGAAAUGUGAAAUUCACAAAAUCCAUUUCUCACUCUAAAUGAGAUUUCCGUUGUUAAGCGAUUCAGGUCCUUGUUACAUUAAAAUUUUAGGCUUCGGGAGAAUUCUAAGCAUCUAUUGGGGACUCUAGAUUCUUUGGUCUGUCUCAAUUUAUGAUUAGUCAAAUAAUUUCAAAUGUGACAGAUGCAAUCGAAACGCUAUCAGAUGAAUAUAUAAAAUUUUCUGAAGCGGAAGAGGAGUUUCAAGAAAUUUCUCAAGGGUUUGAAAGGAGUGUUGCUUCCUAGAAGUAGUCGGUUGCAUCGACUGUACGCAUGUGCUAAUGCGUGCCCCUUCAGCAGAGCCUUGGCAAUAUAAAAAUGAUAAAGGUAGUUCCUCCUUAAAUAUUCAGCUUACUUGCGAUUCUAAAAUGCGAGUGACUUCAAUCUGUGCCUAUAAUGGAAGAACCGAUGAUGCCAGAAUCUGGCGUGAAUCUGCUGUGAAAGAAACUAUGGAGAGAGUAAAUCAAAAUUCUGAAGGCACUUACUUUUUGCUCGAUGCAGCUGAAAAUACACCUGAAUACUGAUAUACUGGUCGUCACUGCACAACGAGGUCAAUAAUUGAACGAGUCUUCGGGGCCAUGAAGGGGCGAUUCAGGUGUAUUCACAGAGACCAAAUAUUUUCAUAUGAGCCAGAAAAAGUCGUGGAGUUUUUCAAGAAUUGUGCAAUUCUUCAUAAUU